GCCCCGGUAGCUCAGCUGGAAAGAGCAUCCCCCUCCUAAGGGGAAGGUCGGCCGUUCAAAUCGGCUCUGGGGCA
rnacentral:tRNA from 4 species